UUCUCCACAUACUUUUCUCUCUAAACCCUAACCGACACACAUCUUCAUCUCUUUCUUGAUUCCUUGGUUCAUCAAACAAAAUCAAUGGAUGAAGUGACUUAUACUUGAGACAAUUCAAUGCCUAUAUCUAAUGUUAUUCAAAGUAAUCCGAAAUCAUCAUCUUAUGAAGUUAAGCGUAACCUUCAUGAAGUCUAUGAGGUAGACGACUUAGUAAAUUGUUCUUCAACAAAACACCAGAUUUGAGAUGAAAAAGAUGAAGCGGAGGCUGAUGGAGUUGUCACACUUUUGAUUCCAAAGAUGGAGAAGUAGUGUGUUUCAUUAUAUUUCAUUUUGAUGAAUUGUUUUUAAAGACAUUUUGGUGUUAUAUCUUUCACAUUAUGGUACAUUUGAUUAUUUUU
rnacentral:lncRNA from 1 species